rnacentral:rRNA from 1 species
UAGGGAAUAUUAGUAAUGGGCGAAAGCCUGAACUAGCAACACCGCGUGUGCGAAGAAGGCCUUCGGGUUGUAAAGCACUUUUUGAGAGUAUGAGGAAGGACGGUACUCUCAGAAUAAGUCUCGGCUAACUACGUGCCAGCAGCCGCGGUAACACGUAGGAGGCAAACGUUAUCCGGAUUUAAUGGGCGUAAAGCGCGUGUAGGUGGUUUGGUAAGUAGAGCGUGAAAGCUCCUGGCUCAACUGGGAGGGGUCGUUCUAAACUGCCGGACUAGAGGAUGGUAGAGGGAGGUGGAAUUCCGGGUGUAGCGGUGGAAUGCGCAGAUAUCCGGAGGAACACCAGUGGCGAAAGCGGCCUCCUGGACCACUCCUGACACUCAGACGCGAAAGCUAGGGUAGCAAACG